CUUAUGGUUCACCAGCGACCACAGGGAAACCCGAGGAGCAGGUGCAGGGUCGGUUCUAGGUGACUGGGGCAGUCGGUAUGGAAUUUCUGUACAUGCAAUGACAGCAGUGGUCAGAGCUUAUGAUGGCAAGGGUCUUGAAACGGUGCUUACAAACAACUUCCUUGAUUUUCUUGGGUUGGCAUCACCAAAUAAAUUGAUAUGAUCAUACGAAGACCAAUUGUGGGCUCGCAUUGUUGACCUUCCAGUUGUGGCAGAAUCUGUUGGGAGUGGUGAUGAGGUGGCAAACAAGAUCCUACACAAUUCAGUUGCUGAACUAGCUUCUAAUGACAAAGAUGUAGUGCAAAGGCUUGAGAUGCAUUAACGUUUGUUGGAUGCAAAGUGCCGAGUGAACUAAGAUGAGUUUUUACUUUAAAAAAUGUAUAAAAAAAUGAGGAACGUGAGGUUAACAUUUGUAUUUAUCGGUGUGAGUAUGGAUAUAUGGA